UAAGCAUAUCACUGAGCGCAGGAGAAGAAACUAACCAGGAUUUCCCUAGUAACGGCGAGCGAACCGGAAAGAGCCCAGCUUGAAAAUCGUGGCGCCCUGGCGCCUCGAAUUGUAGUCUGGAGAAGGUCCCUCUGCGGCGCGCCGGACCCAAGUUCCCUGGAAAGGGACGCCAUCGAGGGUGAGAGCCCCGCUGAUUCCGGAGUGCGCCGCUCCACGAGGACCUGUCUGCGAGUCGGGCUGUUUGGGAAUGCAGCCCUAAGCGGGUGGUAAAUUCCAUCCAAGGCUAAAUAUUGGCAAGAGACCGAUAGCGAACAAGUACCGCGAGGGAAAGAUGAAAAGGACUUUGAAAAGAGAGUUAAAAAGUGCUUGAAAUUGCUGGGAGGGAAGCGAAUGGAAGCUGCGGGUGCGCCCCGGUUGGAUGUGGAACGGCUGUCAAAGGCUGGUCCGCCGCUCAACGCGGGGCGCUGGUCAGCGUGGGCCAUCGCGGCGGGACAAGAGCGGGGAUUCGCUUCCCGCCGAUGCCGCUGCGGUGGCCGAGGAACGAAGCGCGCGCUCUUCAUGGGCGUGGGACUUGUCCCAACUGCGCGCUCGGGACGCUGGCGUAUUGAGCUCUUCAUCCGACCCGUCUUGAAACACGGACCAAGGAGUCUAACAUGUAUGCGAGCCGGUGGGCGGCAAACCCAUUGAGGCGCAAGUAACCUGACAGGUGGGACCCCGACCGCAAGGGAGGGAGCACCAUCGACCGACCGUGAUCUUCUGUGAAGGGUUC
rnacentral:rRNA from 1 species